rnacentral:lncRNA from 1 species
UCAAGAUUAACAUCACACCUAUAUGUAAGAUGUUAAACAUCUGAUUUUUAUUCUAUUGUGAUUACCUUAUCUCAUUCAUGUAUAGCUUCCAACUCUAAGGUUGAAAAUUUUGUUUUGGUUUCCACAACUCUGGACGUCGUCGAGUUAAAAGGGUUUGGGGGAACAAUCAAGUUUUCUUCUUCUAGAGCCUCUAACAUUUUGAGCACAACUGUUAUAGAUGGACGAUUUAUUGGAUUCCACUGUAUGCACCAUAGUCCUACGAUUGCGAGUUUCUUUAAAAUUCUAUCAUCUUCUGCUCCUUCAAUAUUUACGUGAAUAUCUCGGCCUUCAAGUAGAUUGUGAAUCCAUUCUGGAUAUAGAACUUGGAAAUUUUCCUCAGACAACUGACCUAUAUUUUUUCUUCCUCCAACCAUUUCAAGAAGUAACAUCCCAUAACUAUAUAUGUCAGCUUUAUACGAUACAUUUCCAAAGUUCCUCGAAAACACUUCAGGUGCAAUGUAACCUAAAGCCCCUCUUGCAGCAGUUACUGACACUUUGCUUUGAUUUUUAGAGCACAAUUUCGCCAAACCAAAAUCAGUAAUUUUUGGAACAAACUUGUCAUCUAAUAACACGUUAUAGGGAUUAAUAUCGAAGUGAAGAAUUUGCUGAUCACAACUCAUGUGAAGAUACUCAAUACCUUUGGCUAUGCCAAGAGCAAUUUGUUGUAGCUUCUCCCAUCCGAGAAAAUGGUCCAUAUCAUCAGGUCGGGUUAUGAAGUUCUGUAACGAACCAUUUGGAAAGAAAUUAUAAACAAGAGCACGGUAGGAUCCAUCGGCGCAAAAUCCAACCAAGCGAACAACAUUGAUGUGAUGAAUUUUUCCCAUAGCUUUCACUUCGUUAAUGAACUCUUUUCCAUCGCCCUCGGUGUUUUUAAGCAUCUUCACAGCCACAAGAAUUUCAUUAGAUAAUUUACCUUUGAAAACUGCACCAUGAGCUCCUUCACCUAACUCUUCCCUAAAAUUAUUUGUAAUCCUCUUUAUAUCAACAUAAGAGAAUCUUGCAGGGUUGAGUGCCCUGUAAUCCUCUAAGAACUUUUCGAUUCUAGUCUCAUCUUCACCUUUCAGUUUAAAAUAGCUAUAGAGAUGCAAACAGGCUGCAAUAAUCAGUGUUAUCAUAACGGAACCUACGAACACAACUGCAUAAAACAACACUAAUUAAUCUAUGAGUAAUUAUCGUGUAGGGGCGAAUAUAAUUAUACAUCGACUUUAAGCACACUGAAUUAAAACAUAUGACAAAAACUUGAAGAAAAAUAGUUAAAUAAUGGACAAAUUCUUAACAGCAAAUUGAAUUAACCAUCAGAAAAAGAAUGUAUCUCUAACCUGUGGCAUAUAGAAUUAUCUUCUUAGUAGGUUUGUGAUGACGAUCAAAACAUUCUAUCUCGUCUUCAGUUCCAUUGUUUUUCAGUUUACACAUCUUGUCUUCUACUUCACACCUGCUACAAUUGGGUUUUGACCAUGUCAUAACCAAAAUAUUCUUAUAUUGCAAGGACAACGAUGAAAAAAUAAUAUCUAAAGUCUUGGUGCAGAGUAUUGGGUCCAAACCCGAAUCAAGGAAUCGUGUACCAGAAUCAGCAAAAUAAACCGGGCAGGUUAAUGAACUACAAUCCAUGAAAGUGUAGCUAUUAUUGGAGUCGGAUCUUGCAAAUAAUUGAAAAGGUGAAAUUUGUGAAUGAAGAAGCUUUAACAACUGUUUUGGAAGGCAAUUUUCAGGAUCAGAUAUCCAUAGUUCCUGGUCGUCAUAAAAUAUCCUCUUCACUUCUAAUUGAAUUGGACCAGAAUGUGUAGGAAGCUCUAUUAGAGUUUUUCUUGUGUCUGAACAAGUAAGCUCAAAUCCGGGGUAACUGCAACCAUAUUUUUCUUCCCUGUCUUUAAAUCGGAAGGGAAAUCGGAUUGGCGGACCAUGAGGUCCGCAUCUGAAAUCCCUCCCGCUACAACCAUUAACAUGGCAUAUCACUGUGUUGCAAUUGCACACCAAGAUUAGAACCAUGACCACCAAAAUAUUUGACCUGGUUACCAUUUCAGUGGUUAUUGAUACUCAAAUGCUAAUUAAUAAAUCUAAUUAAUAUGGUGAGAUAAUAUAUGAAUGAAUGAUAGCAUUAGAGAGAUAGUUUGAAUAACAUAUGAUUUGGGGAGACAUUAUAAGAAGACCCAGGUAUUAAAAAUACUUAUCUCAUUACUAUUGCUAUAACCAACGAUGGUCCUCAGCAUAGGCCGGAGUGAGGGGCGGCAGUUUAGAAAAUUAUUUUUUAGAGACAUUAAAAUUAUUAUUUUUAUUUAGUAGUUAAUAUUAUAUUAUAUAAAUAUAAACUUACUUAGAUUGUUUUAACGAUGUUGGUUUGAGAUAGGCUCUGUUUGGUAAAAAUAAGCUAUAAGCUAGCUGGUAGCUGAUAGCUGAAAAACUAGCUUAUAGCUGAUGACUGAUAGCUGGUAGCUUAUAGCUUAAAAUUAAAGUGUUUGGUAAAGUUAGUUGUCGAAGUAGCUGAUAAAUAUAAAAUGACAUAAAAUGAUAUGUUUGUUAAUUUAUUUUUUUUAUAAAUUACAUAUGUAAUUUUUUUUUACUUAAUGUAUUUUUUAAAUAUUCAAACUUAUUUGAAAUUAUUUUCAUCUUUACACUAAUAAAUGUACUUUAUGAAUUCAAUUGACAUUUUUUAUUCGACAAAUUUUUAUUUUUUGACAAAUUUAUUUAACUAAACUUGUUUCGUUUAUUGUAUAUUUUAUUUAAUAACAUUAAAUGUUAUAUGAAUUUAUCAAAAAAAAUUAUUAUAUGAAUUAAAAUCAAGGUCAUAAAAAAAAAAUGGAACACCAAAAUAUAGAAAACUAUAUCAUGUAGUGACUAGUAAGCUACGAGGUUGGUUUCAAUGAGCCAUAAAACAUGGGAACGUGGGAGGUUCUUUUUUUAUUUUAAAAUAAUAAAAUUAAAUUAACAAGGUUAAAAUUGGAAGAAAUUAUAAGAAGCUAUAAGCUCAAAAGCUACUUAAAAUAGCUUUUCAAAAAACGUUAUAAGCUCACAAGAAAAGCUUGUUACCAAACACAUCACAUUUUGAUCCAACAAGCUUAUAAGCUAAUUCAACAAGCUAUAAGUUGGCUUCUUGCUGUUACCAAACAUAGUAACGUGCUUCAGUCUCUAGUUUAUAAGCUAAUUUAACUUCUUCAAAAAAAAUUACAUUCAUAUAUUUUUUUAACUCAUUUUGAUUAAGUUUAUUUGAAAUAUAUUUUUAAAGAACAUUAAUCAUGAACAAAUCUUUUACAACAAAAAAAAAACAAGAAGAAGAAAAUUGUUUGAAUAAUUUAAAUGACACGACUUUAUUAAAUAAUCCAAGGGAAAGAAAAAAAUUAAUUAGGACCGGCCCUUACUAUAAGUCUAUAACAAUAAGGAUAAUAUAAUACUAGUGACGAUAGAUUAUUGAAUUAGUUGUUCAUGACGCAAACCAUACGAUCUAAAAGUCUACAUUUAAAGUUUGAAAAAGAUAUAAGAUAUUUUCUGCUCCACGACUAUGAAAGAAAAAAUAGUAUUUCUCUCAAAAUAGAUUGAAGAGUUGAAAACAAAAACUCAACUUCAUGUUAGUUGUGUUGACCAGACCGGUUCAAAAUAUUCAGAACCAAAACAAGAUAUUGGAAAUAGUAUAGGAAAGUUACAUAAUAAGUUUUUCCAUGUAAAUCCUUUAAAACUAUACUAUACUCCAGCACCAAAACAAAACUAGCACCUUAAGUGAAAAUGGUUUCAACCUCUAUUUUUGGACGAAAAACCAGUUAUGCAAGAUGUGUGAUAGUUUUUCUUUACUUGUUUCUACUUCCACACAAAACUUAUUCACAACCUUGUUCUUCUUCCUGUGGAAAAAUUUCCAACAUAAAUCAUCCAUUCCGACUAAAACACGACCCAGACCACUGUGGCAACAAUUUGUACGAGUUGAAUUGCGUAAACAACGUUACAGUAUUGAAGCUGUUUGAUGCUGAAUAUUUUGUGCAAUCAAUCAAUUACAAUAAUUACACAAUACGAGUUGUUGACCCUAAUAUUCAACCCAACAAUUGCUCCUCUCUCCCUCGCUUCUUCUUAUACCGCACCAAUUUCACUUAUUAUACUAAUUCAUACGAAUACAGCUUACUUCGAUCAAGUUCUUACGAUGGAAUUGAUUUAUCUUCCACCUCUUAUGUUUUCGAUGGAAUUGAUUUAUCUAGGCCUGUAAUUUACAUGAACUGUACAAGUCCACCUAGUAACAAUGUGAAUAUGUAUUAUACGGAUACAUCUUCUUGCAUGGGUCAACACAACAUAUAUGCUAUUGUUGGGGACCCACAACUUGGAAUAUUGGAGCCUCAAUGUCGUGUUAAGCUUGUUACUCUCACAUCCUUCUGGGUUCCACCACCUGUAUUUAGUAUCAACAACAUUAUAGGUACAAAUAUAUUCUCUCUCUUAUAUAUAAUGAGGAACUUCUAUAUCAUUUAACUGUUGAGAUAACUUUAUGAAAAAUGCUUACGUGUGCUCUUGAGACAUAUGUUAAGAAGUUAAAUGUAGAAGUUUUUUUUUGCAAAUUGUGCAUUCAAUGUUUAAAAGUUUCAAAAGUUAUAUUUUUAAUAUAAAAUUUAUUUUUAAUUUCCAUUUUAAGUUCCUUAACUUAUGUCCUAAGAGCACAAGUUAACCUGACUUAUAUUUUAUUAAUAUAUAAAAACAAAUGACAAAAUAUGAUAAGUCGUUGGAUUUAUCUCAAUAAAUAUUUUAGAAAUAUUAAUUCUGUUUCUAAAUAUAAGAUCCUGUUGAGAAUUUUCUUUUUUCUCUUUUCAUAAGAUCUCUUUGGUAUUUUCAAAUACAUUAAUUCUUUUUUUACCAACAUACCUCUAUUUAUUUUAUAUCUUUUUCUUCAAUCAACAUUAAAUAUUAUGUUGAAAACAUAAAAUAAUUCUCUCUCUUAAAAGAUAAAAUUGUAAAAACAAUAUUAAUUAUAAACAAACUUAUUAUUAUCAAUUUUCUUAGUUCCCGUUAUUUUUUUAAAAUGAUCUUAUAAUUAGGGACGGAAGUAGUAUAAGUUUUUUAUGAUUUUUGUUAGUACAUGUUUAAAGAUAUUAAGGUUUAAAAUUGUAGGUUAGCAUGUGUAAAACAGUCAAUAGAAUACCUUAAUGCAGAAUGUAGCUAUUACUAUUUUGAAACAAAAAGUUGACUCGAGAAACUUAUGUUUUUAAUUAAUAUUUUCAAUCUUUCAAGAAAUCAAUAUUUUUUUUUUUAAUGAAUUUAAUCACUGUUUGAACUGAGAUGUAUUUUUAUAUAUGAUUAUAUACCUGUCAAUUUUUGUGUGUAAAUAGUACAGUAUGACUUUUAUAUAGGCAAUGUGUCAUACAUCGAUAUUCAUAAGGCACUAGGCUAUGGAUUUGAAAUUUCCUGGAUACUAGCCUUUUGUCCUUGUGAUCAUUGCUACCUCAAGGACCCUGCCGGCGACAUUCUGUGUUACGACCCCAAACCCAACUGUACCAAUUGCUGUAAGACCUUGGUCCUUUGUUACAUUUUCUUUCUUUUAUAUAAAAAUAUAUCAUUUUAUUGUUAGGUUAGUUGUCAAACGUAUCUAUCAUUUUUUUUUUUUUUAAUAAACUAGGGUUUUGGAGAGAAUAAUAAAGGAGACGGUUAGAGUUUCCAAUGACAUUAUAAAAUAAGAUUGUUUCUUUUCUCAUCUAUGAGCUUCUCACGCGUCUUAUGUAGUUCUGAUUUUAAAAUCCGAACUAUAUAAAAAUCUCAUAAAACCUUUAAAAACAUACUGAAAUAUUUCGGAUUUUAGAAUUCGAACAAGGCACGUGAAAAGCUCAUAGGGUGAGAAAAGUAAUGGUCAUAAGAUAAUAUCGAAUAGACUCUUCUAAGGUAGAAAAUAUAAAGGUCCAAUAACAUGUUAUUUAACACCUCCCCUCAAACUCAUGGUGCAACUACAGAAAACAUUGAAAGUUUAUCAAACAAGAAAACAUAAAAAAAAAAAAAAAAAAAAAAANNNNNNNNNNNNNNNNNNNNNNNNNNNNNNNNNNNNNNNNNNNNNNNNNNNNNNNNNNNNNNNNNNNNNNNNNNNNNNNNNNNNNNNNNNNNNNNNNNNNNNNNNNNNNNNNNNNNNNNNNNNNNNNNNNNNNNNNNNNNNNNNNNNNNNNNNNNNNNNNNNNNNNNNNNNNNNNNNNNNNNNNNNNNNNNNNNNNNNNNNNNNNNNNNNNNNNNNNNNNNNNNNNNNNNNNNNNNNNNNNNNNNNNNNNNNNNNNNNNNNNNNNNNNNNNNNNNNNNNNNNNNNNNNNNNNNNNNNNNNNNNNNNNNNNNNNNNNNNNNNNNNNNNNNNNNNNNNNNNNNNNNNNNNNNNNNNNNNNNNNNNNNNNNNNNNNNNNNNNNNNNNNNNNNNNNNNNNNNNNNNNNNNNNNNNNNNNNNNNNNNNNNNNNNNNNNNNNNNNNNNNNNNNNNNNNNNNNNNNNNNNNNNNNNNNNNNNNNNNNNNNNNNNNNNNNNNNNNNNNNNNNNNNNNNNNNNNNNNNNNNNNNNNNNNNNNNNNNNNNNNNNNNNNNNNNNNNNNNNNNNNNNNNNNNNNNNNNNNNNNNNNNNNNNNNNNNNNNNNNNNNNNNNNNNNNNNNNNNNNNNNNNNNNNNNNNNNNNNNNNNNNNNNNNNNNNNNNNNNNNNNNNNNNNNNNNNNNNNNNNNNNNNNNNNNNNNNNNNNNNNNNNNNNNNNNNNNNNNNNNNNNNNNNNNNNNNNNNNNNNNNNNNNNNNNNNNNNNNNNNNNNNNNNNNNUCUCUCUCUCUCUCUCUCUCUCUCUCUCUCUCUCUCUCUCUCUCUCUCUCUCUCUCUCUCUCAAACUGUGUUGUUUUCAUUCAAUCUUUAGACAUUGUUCCAUCAAAUUGGUAUAGCAGAGUCUGGUUCCUUCAUUGGCGUACGAAAAAAUAUUCACCUCAUAUCUUUAAUUUAAUAUUUAUAUGGACUUGCCACAACAUUUUCAAUAAAUACAAAUUUAUCCCAAAUGAUUAUCCUUUAACAACAAAUUACAUACUGAGAAACAAACCCAUAAACAUUAAAUUAAAUUACUUUUUGAGUUUGAAUAUAGUUCACGUUAUCCGGUUGAUUCAAACAUUGGCUUUGAAUUAUCAUUUUCUAAUUUAUAAUUAAUAGCUUGCUCAAAACUCACGAGAAAAAAGAGAGAAGAAGACAAGAAAACCAUAAGAUGUGAAUCUGAAAUUUGAUUAUAGAGAAAAGUUUAAUUAAUGCGUAAUUUGAUUUCUAAAUCCUUCUUAUUUUAUGGGUUGCCGAGAAAUACACUUUCUUGAUGAAGACAUUGAUGACAAAGAAGAAGAACACAUUUUUUUUUCAAUUUUUUAAAAUUAGUGUAAAUACAAUUGCAAUCGCCUUAUUGUUAAAUACUAUUUUUAGUCCUCGUGAGCCUAACUCAGUUGGUAAGGAUAAUGAAUAAAAUAUGCAAGGUCCGGUUUAAACCUCACCACCACAAAAAAAAUACUCUUUUUAAAAAUAUUGAAAACAUCAAUCAGUAAACACGCUAGUACUAACCACGAUGGAGAUUGAAUAACUGAUUUUUCUCACUAUGAAGUUGAGGUGAUGCGUUAUUAGCUGAGUUCCGUGCUAUUCAGAUAGGUCUUGAUUUUUGUAGUCUAAAAUGCUAUGCCAACAUUAUUUGUGAGAGUGAUUGUUUGGAUUCAGUUGACAUGCUUACUGAUGGUCGUGAUCAUACCUUGCACAUUUAUACUACUGACAUCCUUCAUAUUAGAGAUGUUUUACAUGGAAAUGGUAAUACAAGAUUGGCGCAUGUUCUUAGGGAACAAAAUUCGUAUGUAGAUUUUACGACUAAGGAAGGAUCACAUGCAAGGUGCUCUACUCGCUGGAACUGCCCUCCAUCAGGCAUAGAAUCUCUCGUUCUCAGAGAUAAGCUUGAAACAUAAUUUUGACUCUCCCUCUUUUUUCUUUUUCUUUUUGCCUCGUUACUUUGUAACAUUACAAAAAAAAACCGCAAGUAAUAUUUUAAUAAUAAAUCAAUGGUGAAAACCUCAUUUUUGCACUAUACACAAAAGUUAUACUUUUGUAUGCUAAACGUCACCAUUAAACAAGACAACUUUUGUUGUACCCGAAUUAAUUUAUAAAUAGACUAUGAGACAUGAUAAAAUAAGGGGUAAUAGAUAUAGUUGUUCAUCUCUCGCUAUUCAUGACUCAUUCUCCUCGUUCAAUGUACAGAAAAAUUAUGUAACUUAAACGUUGUUCUGUAUUAUUUUAUCUAGUUCUUAUCCUAUUACAAGUCAAAUGGACCCCUAAAAUCACAUGAAUGGUAAAAUUUAGUUUAAAGAUGGAUUUAAUUAUAAAUUAUUAACAAUUUGGCCUGAUAUUAUGUAUUAUUUUCAUCAUAUAUGUAAAAUGAUUUCUUCUCUAUUGCAAUUUUCAGCACGUUGGUGGAUGCAUCUGGCCUUCAUUCUAUAUGGUAAGGUUCUCUGAUUUAAUUUAAAAUUUUCUUAAUUUUUCGUUUUUAGUAAUCUUGCACUAAGUUUAUAAUAAAAUUCUAUACUUACUUGAAGUCGAAUAAUAUUUCAUCAACUUCCCUGCAUUAAGAUAAGGAAGAGAGAGAUUAAUGUGAAAUAAUAUAACAUAGAUAUCGAUAAUCAGAGUUCGAUUAAAAUUAGCUACAUCUUAGGACUGUUGCAGACUUUUCUAUUGCAAAGAAAAAUAUAUAUUAAGUAUUCCAAAAUCCAAUUAUACUAUGUUUAUAUUUAAAAAUAAUUAUUUUGUUGGCUAAUCUUAAAAAAUAAUCUUGAAAAAUAAACAAUUAGACUAUUAGGCGAGGAAACCACCAACUGAUGGAAGGAUAGGUGAUGCUUAAGCAGCCAAGCAAGAGGAGUUGAUUCUUUAUCUAGGCCAUUAACUCAAUACAUGGGUACAUAAGUCCAGACUGGGUCUAAACAUAGUAAGACUAGACCAUGAUACAUAAAACUCAUGUUCCACGAUUGUAGCACCACUAACAAAUAAAAGGUGAGGGAAAAUACAUGAUUAUCAUGGAGUUGUGCACUAAGAAUGAUGUCAAUAGAUCAUGGUGUGAAGAUGGAGAUCAGAGCCAAACUUUGGGUGCCACAACUCCAUUAGCAAGGAAGUUUUCAUGCAUAAACUUGCGAAAUUAAACGAGAAAGGGCUCAUCAUUAUAGGUGACGCCGUUUGGUUAAUAAUAUACAUAAUUUUUGCUAUAAAUAGUUAGUUCAUACACUAUAAUUGAAACAUUAAGUAAUUAAUGUUAGCCUCGAUUGAACGAGCCUUCACUGACAUUGAGAAUGCCAACAUUUAUGGCUCCUUCUAGCAUUUUUAAGACACAACUAGUUGAAACACGUGACUUCAAUGGUGAUGACUAUGUAUUUAAUUAUAAACUAUAUUGAUAUGGGGAUACAUGACAUAAUGUAUCGAGUCUCCAAAAAACUUGUUGACAUUGCUAGAUGUAACCAAUUAUGGUGACAAUUUAGUCACUAAAACUCCACAAAGAGUACAAGGGAGUCAAAAUAUGGAAAGUGUUGUUAAUCAAAGUCAAUCGAUCAUUUCAUCCGUAAGACCUCAUCAGGUUCAGUCCAUCCCUAUACAAUAAACACUUUAUACUCGUUAUUCCUAGCGUGGUGUUUUUUCCACAACUAAUCCUCGGGGGAAUCCAGUGGCAAAUUGUGCUUAUAAUCAGGCUAUCCUUCAAGUUAGACCGGUACAUAUGGCAAGGAAGCCACCAGAAGCAGUAGGAUACAUUGGAAGUGGCAUAUAGCAUGGAAAAGAAGAAGAGAUUCCCAUCAUGAGAAAGUAAAUUUUAUCCAUUAAAUUAAGUAAAGAACAUUGUCUUAUGGUACAUUUUCAACACUAGAUUUUUUUUCCCUAUCUUCCACUAUCAUCUCUCCUUCGUUGCCAUAUUCAAUCUUCAACCAAGAACAUAAAAACUCUUCUUCACAUGUGAUCCAUAAAUCAGAUUAAAACUAAACAACUCUAACAAACAAAAUCAGAUCUCGAAAAAGGAAAUAAGUCUAGAAAAUGGAAACAAAAGUAGAUUUGAAAAAUGAAAAUAGACUAACUAUUUAUAUUGUAGAGUUUUUAUUCUCGAAACAACAACAAUACUCAUCGUCACAUAAAACAUAUUCUUGAGAAAUCCUUUCAAACCCAUCACUCCAAAAUUUCUCAUAACAAAUCUUUUUUUUUUUUAAUGUGGGAUUCAAGUGAGAAGAAUCAAAUUAAAUUAGAAGAUGGGUUAUGAAAAAAUGUGAGUGGUAAAAUAAUAAAUUGGGGUUUUGUUACAAGUGAGUGGGUGAAGAUUAAGAAGAUGAUUUAUGAAAUUGGUAUUUCAUCUCUCAAUUGACUAAGAAGAUGAUUGAAGUUUAUUAAUUACUGAGGAUAGUGGGUGAGUGGAGACCGUAUUUUCAUUUAAGGAAAUUUUGACACAUGCUAGGUUAAUGGUAAUGGAAGAGAGAGUGGUGGUGGAAGCUACGGUGAAAAAAAAUCUAGUGUUGAGAGUUUAGGAUAAAACUAUGUUCUUUACUUAAUCUAAUGGUCAGUGUUUACUUGUCCAAGGUGGAAAACUCUUUAUCUUUCCCAUGUUAAACUCCACCUACAUGGGAAUGCCGCAAGUUCCACCUUAUGGAAGUACUAUGCAAGCGAGCAACAUGUCUUACGCUCGAAGAUACGUCUACAACCCAACAAUUGGAACAAUGUUUAGUUUUGGAUUAUCUUAUACAACAACCAUUGAUUAAUAGUCCACUGUCAGCUAAUACUGAAAUAUUCCUUCCAUAACCCAAUGUAUCAUGUACAAUCCCUUGUAGGUUUGAUGACCAUUAAACCAAUAGUGAGUUAUGUUGGUGAACAACCAUGGAUCAUAAAUCAACUUCACCAAAAUAACACUAUUUUGGGUCUAGGGACUUUGAGGCCUUCAAAGCUGCAAAUUUUAGGUCUCAACCACAUAACGUAUACAAUCAAGUGAUUUUGCUCAUAAAAAUAAUUCAGGGUAUAAAAAAAGUUAUUUUUAAAUGGGGGUUCCAUGGCUCCCCCUUGCACCCCCGAUUGCAAAGAGCACAAAUUAAAAACUAAAAAAGGAAAUAAUAAAUAAACUUCUGAAUUAUUAAACGUUUACAACAUUAAAUAAACAAGUUAAAAAAAAAAAAAAAAAAAAAAACAGUUCUAAAAAUAUACUUCUACUUUAGCUUUCUAACGGACACAAGCUAGUAUUUCCCUAAUAUAAUUUUUUUUUUAUGAAGUAAACUGCACUAUAAUUAUGUGAUCUCAAGAAAAAACUUAAUUCUAUUUUUUUUUUCUGUUGCAGAUUUUGUCUCAGGCAUUUAUCAAGGUAUGGAUUCCAUAUCAUCCAUUCAUCGUGUUUUCUCUUUUAUGAAUAAUAAAUUGCAUAGUCAUUACCCCUUUCUCCUUUUUCUUGUAACCCAUAGAACCCGCGAGCAAUACCUUUUAAUGAUUCUUUUGAAUAAAGCUUUUUUUUUCUUUUUAAAUCGAAUAUUUUCCAUGCAUUAGUACAAAGACUAUUCUCCGAGUCAUAUAAGAUUUAAAUGGGCGGAAAAAAAAAAAUCUAAGAGAUUUAACGUUAUUACAUGUUCAAAAUGAGAAUUAAACUGAAACCUUAGAAAAGAUAUGUAUAAUAUGAUCUAAAUGUUACGGGAUUGUGAUUGAAUGUAUUAGAAAGAAAAAAAAAAACUUAAACCCUGAUUAAAUUAGAAGAGAUACAUCUACGCUCUUUAUAUUUUGGUGUAUGGAUAAUAUAUCGGAUAUGUCCCUGGAUCAAAAUCAAGAACUUAAGGUCUAAAUAAAUGGAUCAAAAUCACGACACGAUUUCUCCAAAUCGCACCAUGAAUUUUGACGAACCUUCAACAUCAAUUUUGAGUAAAUUUUCAACAGCAGCUCAAUGAGUAAGUAAAUGCUAAGUUAACAAAGAAGUAAUUCUAGGAAUUUUCGCUACAAUUUUCAUUAAUUUUACAUUUUAGUUUCAUCUGGUUAUCUGAAUCUAUAAUCCUAUGGUUCUACCACUAGCCUAGAUGUUUAUCAUGAGUCAUGACCAAAUCUUUGAUAUGAAUUGUAGGACUUUGUGAGCUAGCAAGCAUCAAAUUUGAUUGGGAAUAUAAUUAUAAUUAUGCAAACAAAGUUGGAAUAGUCACAGGAAAGUAUGUUUUGCCAUACAUUGCAGUUAGAAUUAUGUUGGGCAUCAUACUUUUCUCUGCGUUAUUGAUCUAUACAUAUCGAAGAAGACAUGCAUCAAUAUAUGAAAAUAUCGAAGAUUUUCUGCAAAGUAAUACACUCAUGCCAAUAAGGUAUUCAUACAAAGAGAUAAAGCAGAUGACAAAAGGACUCAAGGUAAAAUUGGGUGAAGGAGGUUAUGGAGAUGUGUAUAGAGGAAAUCUAAUAAGUGGGCCCUUUGUAGCCAUAAAGAUGUUGAAAAUUAAAUCAAAAACUAAUGGCCAAGAUUUCAUAAGUGAAGUUGCAACCAUAGGGAGAAUAUACCAUUCAAAUGUGGUAAGACUCGUUGGGUUUUGUGUCGAAGGAUCAAAACGCGCUCUUGUUUACGAGUACAUGCCCAAUGGCUCACUUGAUAAAUAUAUUUUCAACAAAGAGGGAGUUAUAUCUCUAUCUAACGACCAAAUAUAUGAGAUAUCUCUUGGAGUGGCUCUUGGAAUUUCAUAUCUUCAUCAGGGUUGUGAUAUGCAAAUUUUGCAUUUUGAUAUUAAGCCUCACAACAUCCUUCUGGACGAAAAUUUCAUCCCUAAAGUUUCGGACUUUGGUCUUGCAAAGCUUUAUCCUAUUGACAAAAGCAUUGCCACUUUGACGGCAGCAAGAGGAACAAUUGGUUACAUGGCUCCUGAAUUGUUCUACCAAAAUAUUGGGAGAAUAUCACACAAGGCCGAUGUGUAUAGUUUUGGAAUGCUUUUGAUUGAAAUCGCAAGUAGAAGAAGAAAUUUGAAUUCACAUGCUGAGCAUUCAAGUCAACUUUAUUUCCCCUUUUGGAUUUAUGAUCAAUUGGUUAAAAGUACAGUGAGAGAAAUGGAAGAUGUGAUUAUGGAGGAAAUUAAUGAUGUUUUGAAGAAAAUAUUCAUAGUUGCACUUUGGUGUAUACAGUUGAAACCCGUUGAUCGUCCUUCAAUGAACAAAGUAGUAGAGAUGCUUGAAGGAGAUAUUGAAAAUAUUGAAAUGCCUCCAAAGCCUUUGCUAUAUCCACACGAAACCAAUCAAGAUAAUCUUGAUAGCAACUCAAAUGAAACUGAAUCAGAUUGGUCAACCAGUUAUGUGGAGGAAAUUGUAACUAAUCCUUUACUGAAGUAAUUAUGUAUGUUUGGCAUUUUGAUUGUUUUGUUGUCUGAUGAAUUAUGGCCUAAUGUUACUGUCUAGUGUUUGCUUUAUUUGUAAAAAAUAAAACAUGAAUUUGUUACUUUAUUACCUAAAUGUAAUAUCUGCAUGCGCAAUAUGUAAAAUGGCUUGAGUAACUUAAGUGGUUUAAGCUAAGAUAUAAAGAGUCAAAGGUCCUGGGUCCAUACCGAGAUGGAAGAUCGUAUAUAACAUGGAACGAAAUUAAAGCCCCAUUUUUCCCUCCUUCUGUUCUAACGUUAACGUUUGAACUAGGACUUGUGUUAUAUUUGCGUGUGAUUUGGGGUAUUUAUGAAUUAGACAGAAGGAAAUUAGGAGUCUUCAAAGGCUUAGAGAGAGUGUUAAUUUGGUGCGUAAGAUCUGAAUAUUGAGUUUUGAUCAGCAAAUUCUCUAAACAAAAUUAGUGAGAAGUGUUUGCUAACAAGUGCCUUUAUAAAAGUUCAAAGUGAACAUUUUGUCUUCGGAUUUGUGUAUUCAACACAUUGAAACAUCAAAGAGCAACUUUUUCUAUAUGCAAGUUAUCAAUUGUUUAAUCGUUAACAACUGCCCUAAUGGCACUUGUUAGCAAGACCCUUAUAUUAUAUACCUUACAUUUGUACUGUUAUGUUGUCUCAUGGCCUAAUAUAUCAGUGUAUUGUUUUCUUUAUUUGUAAAAUAUGGAAUAUGAAUUUGUUAGUAUAGUUACUAAAAUAUAAGUAUUGCAUAUGCAUUAUGUAUAAAUACCACAUGUCCUUGAAUUAGUGGUACGAAACUAUCAUUUGUCCAAUCUGUAUGUUUUUCAUCUAGCUCCCUUUUUCUAGUUAGAGCUCUUAAGGAGUUAAUCUAUUUUAAGAAUCUUGAUAUGUUGCUUUUAUUGAAAACCAAGAAAAGAAAACCAGAAUUGUUUUAUCUCAAAAGCCAUGAGUGGUUUAAGUAGUAUGGCCGCUGUCAGGUGUAACAUGGAAAGUAAUGGUAGAGCCUAUAACACCCCAUUUUUCCUAUCUUACGUGCUAAUGAUUGAACCUGGACAUGUGUUAUAUUUGUGUUUCAUUUUAGGGUAUUUCUGUAUUGGGUAAGUCUAGUUUAUUUUUGCGUCGACGUGUAUAAGUCUAGACAAAAAAAAUGUUUUUUUUUUACCAGCUGCACGAGUAAAUUCAGACGAGUCUUGCUCAAUAAAUUCCUCAAAUUGCUCAACUGAUCGGGUGGUAACUCCUAAUCAAUUUUUUUUUAGUAAACCCCAAUCGGAUCGUAACUCUUGAUGGAAGCAAAAUUUUCUGAAAAUGAGAACAAUAUGAGAGACUUAUUGAGCAAACAUCAAUUCAGAUGGAAGUAGUGGUUUUUAAAUUCCAUCUCCUAAGCUCAAGAGCCCACAAUAGGCCAAAUGUUACCCCUUCCAACGUGGGAAUUUUGCCUUUUUUUUCCUCAAAGUUAUUCGGUUGGUAACUUCCGGACGGCUUAUUUUUUUGUGUUUAGAAACCCUUCGGGAUAUAUCUCCCAAACGUUGUUGCAUACACGUAAAAAGAGUAAAUAUGGGGCCAAAAGGCCGUCGUCCCAACAUGGUAACACAACCUAUACGGUUCUUUUUCCUUUCAAGACUGAAAAGUCCUUCAUCAUCCCGAAGGACCAAGCCCAGAACUUAACCAUUUUCAUGCUUGUUGACUAUUGUUUGCUAAAAAAUAGUAAUUAUUUGCAUACAGAACCUUUAUAAGUUCUCUUCACCGAGUAUAUGCCAUUAUUGAAUUUGAACAUUCUAGAAAUAAGGCUAUAUUCAUGGGUGCAUGGUAGAAUAGGAGUAGUGAGAAUGGCAUGUGUUUCAUCAUAGUUGAAAAUUGCUUGCACCAGCUUAAUAUUCCAAGUGUUUGUGGAGAUGAUACACACCUUCAACUCUGUUAAAUAAGUUGGCAUGGUUGUUUUAGGUUUUAAAAAUUGACCAGACUUUAUUGAAGGUUCAGACAAACAAUAAUCUGCAACCGAUUACGAAUACACCAUCUAUACGCUGGUGGGUAGCCAGGAUCUGCCGAUAAAAACUGAUGAGUUUGUUUGACUGCCUUUAUUUUGGACCUAAAAACAGAAAAUAGCAAAUGGAUUUUGGAACCUGGAAAAUCUAAUACUGAAAAGGUGAAAAUGGGCUACUAUUACUAUGCAGAACUGAAAUCAAUAUUUUAAGCAAUAAAAUUAUUUAAUAGGCUAUGUAAAACUAUAAGCUUGUGUUUGGAAAACAAAGCUAUGGUGCCACAGCAGGGAUGGUAGGAUGUUAGGCCUUGGUGAUGUCAUUUUCCGUGCAUUCAGCUCUAAAUUACCGUGUUUCCAAACAUAUUGUAUAUAGCUUAACAUCGAUUUAUAACGAUGGUAGGUGAGUUUGUAGAAUCUCCAGGUAGCAGUCAAGGUAGAUUUCUGAGUUGUCCAAUUCCUUGUACAGGCAUUCCUUUAGGAGUUUGAAAUGGCUUUGGAGGCAUUUCCAAGGACUCAACAUCUCCUUCAAUUGUUCAUUGACGGACGAUCAAUUGGUUUCAUCUGUAUAUACCACAAUGCAACUAUUAUCAUCUUCUUCAAUAUCUUUUCCUCCUCUUCUGUACCAUUUCCCAUUUCUAUUUCCUUCCCUUCGCUAAAUUGGUCGUAAACCCAAGAAGGGAAAUAAACUUGACUCUUGACUCUUAUGCGCACGUCUAUUCUAUUACUUGUUCGUGUUAUUAUAUUUGCACUUUGUUCAUCCUUUUUGCUCUUCUUGCGAUACUCAUAAUUACCAAGAGAUUGAUCCAUCCAUUAGUGUUUUAUAUGGCAUAUUUUACUAUGCUAUGUUGUAUGUCUUAACAAGGUUUGAACUUUAUGUCCUUCUAUUUUGAAAAUUAUGGGACUAGGAAAAAACCCAACGAAAAAACAUUGUGCAAGACCAACAACUCCAUCGUUAAAAACCUUACUAGGAAAAGAUGAGGGCAGUGCAAGAAAUCUACAUCAACCAAAGAUAAAUCCUUAAGGAAACCAAUACUACAGAAGAAAAAAGGAAGAGAAGGACACAUCUAUCUAGUAAAGCAAGGUGAAACACGCUUUUCAUCUGACGAAGAAAAUGCUAGCUUGCCUCUUGUAAAAGGAAGCAUUCCUCUGGUGGAAAACAAAAAAAACUCAUAGACCUUUCAAAGAACCCAUAAUUUGGUCUUAAAUAAGUGAACACGAAAAGAUUUGUGAAGUUUCAAAGAUGCAUCUUCUUCUGUUAUUUAAACUUCUUUACCUAAAUUAAUAUGGCUUCAUCUGCUUGACACAAACAACGUAUCAUCUGGUCAUGAGUCACUCCCUUACAAUUCCUAUACAUCAUUUACUUACAAACCCCUUAAUCGGUAUAACGUGGUUUCGAUGUUGUGAAGUAUAAGUUCAGUAACAAGAGGAUCACUGUGAAAUUAGUGCAUUGAGUAAUAGGUGUUUAUUAAACGCAGAAUGUAGUGCUCUGAUAAUAAAUAAGGAUUUAGGAGCUACAAUUAGAGUUUAUAUUGGAAUUCUCUUAUAGUCAUGUUCUUCUUGAAAUUUAUUCUCUCAAAUGUUAUCAAUUUAACUUUAUUCUUAUUAAUUGCAAAUCUUGAGAAGCAAUUCAACACUUGUAAACCUAUCACUCUUCUAAUAUCUUAGUGGAUUAAACUUUAUUCAUAUAUUUCGUUUCAACAUUUGUGUUACACCGUUCAAUCGAAAGUUUAUAACAUAUAACCUCUGUAAAUCUUUGCAAAAAUAUUAAACUAUUUUCUAUUAAAGUACAUCAAAAUUAACGGACGUCACACCUAAUUAUAUGUAAGAUGUUAAUCUUGCAGCACGUGAUAUUUUUCUAAUCUGACUGCCUUAUCUCAUUCAUGUAUAGCUUCCAACUCUAAGGUUGAAAAUUUUGUUUUGGUUUCCACAACUCUGGACGUCGUCGAGUUAAAAGGGUUUGGGGGAACAAUCAAGUUUUCUUCUUCUAGAGCCUCUAACAUUUUGAGCACAACUGUUAUAGAUGGACGAUUUAUUGGAUUCCACUGUAUGCACC